AAAAAAAGGGCAGCCGGUGCUAAGUAUCUCAGUCUCUCACCGCACACUAAUGAGGAGCAGUCGCUUUCUCACAACAGGAUGUGUGUGUGUGUGGUGAGACGGUGAGAGACAGUCACUUUGCUUUCUCCGCCGCACGCCGCCGGCCGCCUUCUUUGGAGCAGGGCGCACGCCGUCGGCCGCCUUCUCUGGAGCAGGGCGCAUCCUCUCCGGCCACGACGUCUUCUGGCGCCCCCUCCCCGCACCACCACCACCACCACCACGGCCUUGCCCCGUCUCCUAUCCCCAUGAUGGCCUUGCCUCGCCGGCUCUUAUCCCCACCACGGCCUCGCCCCGCCGCCUCCUCUCACCAUCGCGGACUUGCCUCGCCGCCAACCCCGUGGAUCUUCCCUACAUCGACUCUGCCGCCGCCAUCAUACAUCCCCAGAGCAGAUCGAGAUGCGAGCUGCUGGACACGAUGCAUGCAGGAGCAGGCAUCUUGAAUUGGACCGAGAUCCAGUGCGUCGACCUCACACAGUCGCUCCGGGAAGGAGUUCGCAGCCUACGCUCGGUUGCUGAAGGUAUGCUGUUCGAUUAGAUGUUGUUAAUGCACCUACGAUUAUCAGUGGGGAUUUAGUCAGGUGACAUUUUUUAGGCAACCAUGUUGUGAUAAAGCUUCUUGAUUUGUGGAUUUGAAUUCUGGGUGGCUUAAUUUGUCACUAUCAGCUAGCUCUAAUUGAUGUUGAGUCUUUGCUUUUUGAGACGUUGUAAUGUCGCAACCAAGUUGGUAUCUGCACUGUUUCUAUCAGAAAUACAUGUGAGUCCAUUCUUUGACAUCUGAACUUUGCUGAUGCUUAUUCCGUUGUAUGCACAACAGGCACCUUCGCCACAUUGUCAUCCAUUUGUGAGAUGUUUCUGUUUCUCCAUGUUGGCAUGGAUGCAUUGGAUAUAGAGUAGUGGAAGAUUGUUAGCGGAACACAUAUACAGGUAUGCUAUAUAUCUGCUUCUUUCCAUAUGUGUAAUAACAUAUUUGUUGUUCAAAUGUAUAAUAUGCAGCCCAAUGAAAUGUAUCGCCUUGAGCACCAUUAUUUAGGCCAGAUCUCAUGAGAGGUGUUGUGUGAAUUGCAUUGGCAUACAAUAAGGUAAAGAAUUGCAUUGGCAUACAAUAAGGUAAAGAAUUGCAUUGGCAUACCAAAUCUGUUGGUCAAAUGUGCUUCAGGAAUGCUAUGCAGUGAAAAAAUAAACAUAAUAGCAUACCUGCGCUGUUAAGCAUAAAUGCUUUGAGUUAUAGUAGGAGGCGUACCCAUCCGUCUGAAGACUGCUCUUAAUAUAUUCUUCUCUUUUCCAUGUUGUAACAUCGAGAUCAGUCCACUUAUCGGAUUUUAAUUCCAUGUGCUUGGAUGCAUAUUUGAAUAAAUCCUCUAGUCCUUCUAGCCGUUGUACCAACAAAUGGAAAAAGUAUAAGCAUCACAAGUGAGAAAUAAGAAAAAAAGGUUCUUAGAAAAGAUGGGGGAGUAGGACUAAGUACUAACCGUAUCGGCGAGGUCCUUGCGGCUCAUGUAAGGGCCUAGCGAGUCGAGCACUUGGACACAUUUUUUUCUGGCAUUUAUAACACAUAGGUACCAGUGAAAGUCGUCGUUGUUUAUUGGAAUGUAUAUCUAAAGAAAAUGAUUAUUUUAGUUGUACUCGUAUGUGGACGAAUCAGUCGUUCUUGCUGUAAUUCAUAGAAAUAUGUAGAAAAGUAAGACUAACCAUAUCGUUUUCCAAAUAUGCUUUGGCUCUGUUUAAUACCCAUGCUGGUGCAGCAUCCAUGUCAUCUGAGGGCAGAUAGCUACCGAUCUUCAUCAUCUUAGAGAUGCAUGCAUUCUCUAAGAAAUUUUGGUCAAAUCUGGUCAAACUGUGGUCAAACUAUGGUCAAAUAAUGGUCAAACUAAUUAUUCAAGAAAUAUUAGUGUUACUAAAUAAUUAUUGUUUUUUAAAACAAUAGUUUCAAACUCAAACAGUAAAAUGUGUCACUUCAUGCUCAAGCUAAAUUCCUGAGGGUUAAUAGGAUUGACAACUUACUAUUGUCAGGAAAACAACAAGUGCAGACUUUGAAACGAGGGAGAACAGAAUCUGGAAGUUAAGCGUGCUCAGGCUGGAGUAGUGAGAGGAUGGGUGACCGUCCAGGAAGUUAGAUGAUUUGGAAUGAUGAGGGGUGAUAAAUUGAGCAGUGACGAGGGGUGGUGAUUAGAGAUUAGAGGUUAAAAUAAUUCAGAAAUUUGAAAAUAAAAAAAAUUCAAAUUUUUUUAAAAAAAAAUCAUAAAAUUUCCUUUAGUCCCUGUUGGUGUUACCAACCGGGACUAAAGGUGGAGCUCCACGUGGCCGCGGCCUUUAGUCCCGGUUCGUGUAAGAACCGGGACUAAAGGGGAGAGGCAUUAGUAACGACCCUUUAGUCCUGGUUCAAAAACCGGGACUAAAGGGCCUUACCAACCGGGACUAAAGCCCCUUUUUCUACUAGUGACAGAAUCGUAGAUCCAUAUAGUGUGUUGGGACAUCUCUAGCAAGCUGGACGUCGUGGCACGCUAGUAUCCUGACAGCCAUGUUAAAACAACCAGCAUCCAUGUACUCAUCAUUCUUUAAUAUGUUCUUUAAUUGUCUCAAGUUCAAACUAAUAGGAUAAGGUUGAGAGCUUUUCACCCAUUCGCUCCUGUGAAAUGGGAAUUCUAUCAAUUAUAAUUAUACAAGAGUAAUAAUUUAUUAUAAACAAAAAUGAAUUGGAAAAAUGUGUCUUACUCUAGCAAAGGGAUAUCAUCAACCAUGAUGAUGAACAAGCAAAGUUCAUCCAUUAAGUCGUCGUUUGUUGGAGUGACAAACGGCGGAAGGAUAAAUGAUUGCGAGAUGAGCUCAACUUGUGAUGAUGAGUUGGAUGCUUUGGGUUUGUUAGGAGGUCUUUCGAUGAUCAUACAAUCGGUGGGAUCCGUGUUGGUUUCAUCAUCAUCCAAGUCUUGGUUUCUUAUAUCAUCAUCAUUGAAUUCAGAGUCGACUAAAAUGACAGCUAAUUUUGUUUUAAAAUCUGUCAUAUGAACCUAAAGUGAAGUAGUAACAAGACUUAAUUUUCAAAUAAUGAUACAACACAAAAUAAUUAGUAUCAUGAUACGAUGCAAAAUAUACCUGUUCGGGAGUGUCAGACAGACUAUCUCCCGUGAAGUACUCCAUGAAAUUUAACAUCCACAGACCACAAGAUGACCUGGAUGAUUACAAAAAUUAGAUAUGAUUAAUAACAAAAAUAUUAUAUUAAUAAAAAAUAUUAGUAUUAUAAAAUGAUGUUGACCGAAUCACAAGUCAUAGCAGACACGCUCGAUUAAAAAGGAAUUGAACAACGUUUGCCGCUAAUUUAAAUCAAAUGACCAAAAGGACUAUCAAUAAAAUAAUUGAAUUUGUCAAUGCAUAUUUUUUUAUUAUAAAUCAAUUGAACAAAAAGGCUAUGAAUAAAAAUUGAAUUUGUCAACGCAGAAUUUCUUUGAGAGGAACUCAUAUAAUUAUUACUUCACCAAAUGGGUUGUGGAUCAUAAAUAUUAAAAAUAAAACAAAAGGCACACAGCCGAUGAUCCAUUUGAUCGAUGAUAUGUUUAAUCUGAACGACAUAAUUAGGCCACACAAAAGAAACCAGAGGUUGGAUUGGAAAAGAAAAGAGAGCAACCAGAGGUACACUAAUAAGGAGCUGCCACAAAUGAGGAGCAGCCGGUGAAAAGAAAAAGAGGGCAGCCGGUGCUAAGUAUCUCAGUCUCUCACCACACACUAAUGAGGAGCAGUCGCUUUCUCACAACAGGAUGUGUGUGUGUGUGGUGAGACGGUGAGAGACAGUCACUUUGCUUUCUCCGCCGCACGCCGCCGGCCGCCUUCUUUGGAGCAGGGCGCACGCCGCCGGCCGCCUUCUCUGGAGCAGGGCGCAUCCUCUCCGGCCACGACGUCUUCUGGCGCCCCCUCCCCGCACCACCACCACCACCACGGCCUCGCCCCGUCUCCUAUCCCCAUGACGGCCUUGCCUCGCCGGCUCUUAUCCCCACCACGGCCUCGCCCCGCCGCCUCCUCUCACCACCGCGGACUUGCCUCGCCGCCAACCCCGUGGAUCUUCCCUACAUCGACUCUGCCGCCACCAUCAUACAGCCGCAGAGCAGAUCGAGAUGCGAGCUGCUGGACACGAUGCAUGCAGGAGUAGGCAUCUUGAAUUGGACCGAGAUCCAGUGCGUCGACCUCACACAGUCGCUCCGGGAAGGAGUUCGCAGCCUACACUCGGUUGCUGAAGGUAUGCUGUUCGAUUAGAUGUUGUUAAUGCACCUACGAUUAUCAGUGGGGAUUUAGUCAGGUGACAUUUUUUAGGCAACCAUGCUGUGAUAAAGCUUCUUGAUUUGUGGAUUUGAAUUCUGGGUGGCUUAAUUUGUCACUAUCAGCUAGCUCUAAUUGAUGUUGAGUCUUUGCUUUUUGAGACGUUGUAAUGUCGCAA
rnacentral:lncRNA from 1 species